ACACACUCUUCAUCAUCACACAAGACUAAACUACAACUAUGAACAACAUCAUCAUCUUCAUCUGGACCAUUGCACUGUUUAUUCAAGAAUCCAGAGGAGUGACUCUGACUCAACCUGAAGUUAAAACUGUCCACCAGAGUCAAACAGCAACAAUAGAGUGUCAUAUGGAUGUAGGACUAACCAGUAAUGACUUAUUCUGGUAUCAGCAGAAACCUGGAGAAGCUCCUAAACUCCUGAUUUAUUACAUAAGAAGCCUUUAUACUGGAACUCCAUCUAGAUUCAGUGGCAGUGGAUCUAACUAUGGCAGUGAUUUUACUCUGACCAUCAGUGGAGUCCAGACUGAAGAUACAGGAGAUUAUUACUGUCUGAGUAGGCACACCAUCAACAGUCAGUAUGUGUUCACACAGUGAUAAAGAGUCGUACAAAAACCUCUGUCAGUCAGACGUCACAGUGACUGCACUGAUACAGCUGAGAGAAACGGCAGCUGCUGAUGGAGGAUCACAAACUACAGAAUAUCAAUGUUUAGCAAACUUUAUAAAGACUUUUAUGUGAUAUGAAAUAAGAGUUAGUGCUGGUAUUGAUUAUGGCAGCACUGGGAUGUUUUAUUGUUGGUGUUUCAGAUCACAGUAUGAGAGCGAUGUGGAG